ACAAAUCUGCUUAAAGUGCUACAUUAAUUAGGCUUAGCUAUUUCAUCCAUCAAUGUUGGGAAUUUAUAUAUAAGAAAAUAUUUCCAAAUGUCUUUUCAUGUGAAGCAUAGAAGAUUAGCUACAUGCCUGAAAGACACAUAGGCUAAAAAUCCUGUGGAUAUAACAAUAUUAUAUAGGAAUGUCCUGUACUAUAUAUUGAUCAUCAUCAUAGUUAGGUCAUUCAGGAUACUCUAUGAAUAUAUAGUUAAAAGGUAGAAGUAAUAGGUAUUUGAUAUUUUGAUAUAGUACUAUUAUUUUGGAUGUGUCUCUGUAGUGACCAAAUCUUUUCACAUUUAUCAACAAAAUCCUCUUUUAUCUUAAGUUGGAAAAGGAAAGCAAGUACGUACAUUAAGAAAAUAACAUGCACUCAAUUUCUUUUUAAGUUGGAUUCUUCACAGAACUUUGAAUAGAGUACUAAAUUAAAGUACUCAUUGGAGGAAUGCUUUCUCUUAUAUAUCACCAGGAUCAUUUAAUAGAGGAAUAAUAUACAUGUAACACAUUCAAAUAAAAGGAAAAAAUAUGCAAUUCAUAAAAAAUAUAUCUAAAACUCAACUGCCUAAACUCAAGUGUGUUUUCUAAGAUCAUUAUAUUAAAGUUUCAUUGAAUUAAAAUUAAAGCUGAAUCUUAGCUUCUGAUUGGUAAGUAACUCUCAGGGAUAUGUUUUCUUGAAUUAUUGAUUUGUUUAUCACACAUUGUCUCUCUCUAAUCCUCAUUAUUUCUUUAUGAUAAAAAGCAAUCUAUAUAUUAAAAAAUAAACUAAGGGAAUACGCAUUGAAAAGGCUCAUCAGUGAGUCUUUUGUCUUGAAUAAUUAAUCUAGUAAUGUUUGAUCAGGAUGGGCUAAAUUAUGCCACAGUAAGAAACUCUCCCAAAAUCUUAGUAGUUUAACACAACAAUAUUUCUUGUUUGUCCUUGAUGUCCAAAGCAGGUUAAAAAUGAUGCUUAUUCAAGCAACUUAUUCAAGUUACUCAAGGACAAAUAUUAAUGGAGCCUCCAGUUUCACAUAAGCAUCCACAGUAUUUUGUUUAAGAUGAAAGAAAAAAUGAUGAAUCUUAUACCAGCUUUGAAAUCUUUCAACCAAAAUUGAGAUACAACACCUUUGCUCAUACUAUAUUGAGCAAAAUAAGAGAUGCCAUGACAAAAACUUCAAGCAGGCAGUUAAAUGUAAUCCUACCAUAUGCUUCAAAGUGGAAGAACCAGAAAUAUUUGGUAAAUAAUCAUAAAUAAGUAGCAGAGUCUCCAUUUCUGGGUUCCAAGUAUUCACUGUACUCUCUAUUCCUCAAACAGAAUCAGUCGUAUCUUUCCACGUUAAGAAAACUCAAGUUUUGUCCAAUCACCAAAUCAAGCCAAAGUCCAUUAAUCCUUGGUGAUCUGUGGCAGUGACUUUUCUUGAUUAACUAAGGCAACAAACAAAAUGAAUAAACCUUCAUUUUCAAUUACCAAUAAUCACACCCUGGAGAAACCUCAUUGAUUACGAUACUGCCAAUGUACAAAGUGGUAUGCAGCCUUUUCAGAUUGGCUUCUUUCACUUAGCAAUAUUCAUUUAAUGUUCCCCAUGUCUUUUUGUGGUUAAAUAGCUCAUUUGUUUUGAUCAUGCAAUUAUAUUACAACAUAUUAAUGUAUCACAGUUGGUUUAUCCAUUCCCCUACUUAAGGACAUCUUGAUUGCUUCCAAGUUUGGGGAAUUAAGAAUAAAGUUGCUAUAAACAGUCAUUGCUGGGUUUUGUGUAGAGAUAAAUGUUCAACACAUUUAAGAAAUAGCAAGGAGCAUGACUGGUGGAUCACAUGAUAAGAGUGCAUUUACUUUUGUAAGAAACUGCCAGACUGUCUUCCAAAAACGUUGCACCGUUUUGCAUCGCCAGUAGCAAUUAAUGAGAAUUCCAGCUGCUCCCCAGCAUUUGGG
rnacentral:lncRNA from 1 species